rnacentral:rRNA from 1 species
CCUACGGGAGGCAGCAGUGAGGAAUAUUGGUCAAUGGGCUUACGCCUGAACCAGCCAAGUCGCGUGAGGGAAGACUGCCCUAUGGGUUGUAAACCUCUUUUGUCACGGAGCAACGCAGGCUACGUGCAGCCGGACUGAGAGUAUCUGAAGAAAAAGCAUCGGCUAACUCCGUGUCCCAAGCCGCGGUAAUACGGAGGAUGCGAGCGUUAUCUCCCCUUAUUGGGUUUAAAGGGUGCGUAGGCGGAAUGCCAAGUCAGCGGUAAAAUCGCGGGGCUCAACCUCGCUCCGCCGUUGAAACUGGCGUU